rnacentral:rRNA from 1 species
AGUGAACGCUGGCGGCGUGCCUAACACAUGCAAGUCGAACGAUGAUGAUGGAGCUUGCUCUAUCUGAUUAGUGGCGCACGGGUGAGUAAUGCAUAGAUAAUGUGCCCCUUAGUUUGGGAUAGCCACUGGAAACGGUGGUUAAUACCAGAUACGUCUUCUCAUUAUAAGAUGGGUCGGGAAAGUUUUUUCGCUAAGGGAUCAGUCUAUGUCUUAUCAGCUAGUUGGUGAGGUAAUGGCUCACCAAGGCAAUGACGGGUAUCUGGUUUGAGACGAUGAUCGGACACACUGGAACUGAGACACGGUCCAGACUCCUACGGGAGGCAGCAGUGAGGAAUAUUGCACAAUGGAGGAAACUCUGAUGCAGCAACGCCGCGUGGAGGAUGACGCAUUUCGGUGUGUAAACUCCUUUUAUUAGGGAAGAUUAUGACGGUACCUAAUGAAUAAGCACCGGCUAACUCCGUGCCAGCAGCCGCAGUAA